CCGCGUGCGGGAGGAAGGCCUUAGGGUUGUAAACCGCUUUUAUCAGGGAAGAACACAAUGACGGUACCUGAUGAAUAAGCCUCGGCUAAUUCCGUGCCAGCAGCCGCGGUAAUACGGGAGAGGCGAGCGUUAUCCGGAAUUAUUGGGCGUAAAGCGUCCGCAGGUGGCCAAUUAAGUCUGUCGUUAAAUCGUGGAGCUCAACUCCAUACAAGCGAUGGAAACUGAUUGGCUAGAGUACGGUAGGGGUAGCGGGAAUUCCAGGUGUAGCGGUGAAAUGCGUAGAUAUCUGGAAGAACACCAGCGACGAAAGUGCGCUACUGGGCCUGUACUGACACUCAUGGACGAAAGCCAGGGGAGCGAAAGGGAUUAGAUACCCCUGUAGUCCUGGCCGUAAACGAUGAACACUAGGUGUUGCGCGAAUCGACCCGUGCAGUGCCGUAGCCAACGCGUUAAGUGUUCCGCCUGGGGAGUACGCACGCAAGUGUGAAACUCAAAGGAAUUGACGGGGGCCCGCACAAGCGGUGGAGUAUGUGGUUUAAUUCGAUGCAACGCGAAGAACCUUACCAAGGCUUGACAUCCCCCGAAUCUCCGGGAAACCGGAGAGUGCCUUCGGGAGCGGGGAGACAGUGG
rnacentral:rRNA from 1 species